GGACAACCUGGCUAUAAUGUCUGUCACCCCAUUGAUUGCCAGGGUUGAUUCAGCUGAUCUGGCUGAGUACUCCUGCUAGAGGAGGACCUUUUCCUUGGUCAAGGGUAUACUAGUAGCUGCGCUCCCCUGCUAGCACCUCCAAACAAGCUCUCAAGGAGACUACAGGGAAAUUUUAUAAUGUGGUUUUUGAAAUUUAGAAUAUCUGCAU
rnacentral:snRNA from 1 species